UGGGGAAUUUUGGACAAUGGGCGCAAGCCUGAUCCAGCCAUGCCGCGUGAGUGAAGAAGGCCUUCGGGUUGUAAAGCUCUUUCGGUGGGGACGAAACGGUUCGUGACAACACCACGAACUAAUGACGGUACCCGCAUAAGAAGCACCGGCUAACUACGUGCCAGCAGCCGCGGUAAUACGUAGGGUGCAGGCGUUAAUCGGAAUUACUGGGCGUAAAGGGUGCGCAGGCGGUUUGUUAAGACAGGUGUGAAAUCCCCGGGCUUAACCUGGGAAUUGCGCUUGUAACUGGCAGGCUAGAGUGUGGCAGAGGGGGGUGGAAUUCCACGUGUAGCAGUGAAAUGCGUAGAUAUGUGGAGGAACACCGAUGGCGAAGGCAGCCCCCUGGGUUAACACUGACGCUCAUGCACGAAAGCGUGGGGAGCAAACAGGAUUAGAUACCCUGGUAGUCCACGCCCUAAACGAUGUCAACUAGUUGUCGGGGAAGCAAUUCCUUGGUAACGAAGCUAACGCGUGAAGUUGACCGCCUGGGGAGUACGGCCGCAAGGUUA
rnacentral:rRNA from 1 species